UACGUAGGGUGCGAGCGUUGUCCGGAAUUACUGGGCGUAAAGAGCUCGUAGGUGGUUUGUCGCGUUGUUCGUGAAAACUCACAGCUUAACUGUGGGCGUGCGGGCGAUACGGGCAGACUGGAGUACUGCAGAGGAGACUGGAAUUCCUGGUGUAGCGGUGAAAUGCGCAGAUAUCAGGAGGAACACCGGUGGCGAAGGCGGGUCUCUGGGCCAUUACUGACGCUGAGGAGCGAAAGCGUGGGGAGCGAACAGG
rnacentral:rRNA from 1 species